rnacentral:rRNA from 1 species
CAGUCGUACCUUCGGGUAAUCAGCCUUUCGGGUGCGAUUCUGUGGAGCGUGAGGAGUUAAACGCCUUCAUGCCUGCAUAUUCGUGCACUUUGGGUGUACUUGCCCGUGUGGUAGGUUAACAUCAAUUUCGGAUGUCAUAAAAUGGCUGGAGGAAUGUAGCUUCGGUCUCGUACUGAAGUGUUAUAGCCUUUGGUAGAUGUGAUGACCGGGAUUGAGGAUUGCAACGAAUACCUUUUGGGCUAUCCGUCUGAUCUCUGAAAGUUGCUCUGGUGCCGAAAGCUUGCUUACGGUUAUCAAAGUUGACGUUCAAAAGGUUAGAACGGGCUAAA